UUACGACCUUACUGACUCGAUGCAAACUCAGACUACGAUGAAGUUCGAUCACGGGAGACACACUGCGGGUGCGAAGGUCCGCAGUGGAAAGGGAAACAGCCCAGACCGCCAACUAAGGUCCCAAAGUCAUAGCUAAGUGGGAAACGAAGAGGGAAGGCCCAGACAGCCAGGAGGUUGGCUUAGAAGCAGCCACCCUGUAAAGAACGCGUAAUAGCUCACUGGUCGAGUCGGCCUGCACGGAAGAGUUAACGGGGCUA
rnacentral:rRNA from 1 species